GUGCUCGCUUCGGCAGCACAUAUACUAAAAUUGGAUCGAUACAGAGAAGAUUAGCAUGGCCCCUGCGAAAGGAUGACACGCGCUCCAUAUUUUC
ensembl:snRNA U6 U6 spliceosomal RNA